rnacentral:rRNA from 1 species
AGGUAAGCUACUAAGAGCGAAUGGUGGAUGCCUUGACUGGUAAAGGCGAUGAAGGACGUACUAGACUGCGAUAAGCUACGGGGAGCUGUCAAGAAGCUUUGAUCCGUAGAUUUCCGAAUGGGGCAACCCAAUGUAUAGAGAUAUACAUUACCUAUAUAGGAGCGAACGAGGGGAAUUGAAACAUCUUAGUACCCUCAGGAAAAGAAAUCAAUAGAGAUUGCGUCAGUAGCGGCGAGCGAAAGCGCAAGAGGGCAAACCCAGUGCUUGCACUGGGGGUUGUAGGACUGCAAUGUGCAAGAGCUGAGUUUAGCAGAACAUUCUGGAAAGUAUAGCCAUAGAGGGUGAUAGUCCCGUAUGCGAAAAACAAAGCUUAGCUAGCAGUAUCCUGAGUAGGGCGGGACACGAGGAAUCCUGUCUGAAUCCGGGUCGACCACGAUCCAACCCUAAAUACUAAUACCAGAUCGAUAGUGCACAAGUACCGUGAGGGAAAGGUGAAAAGAACUGAGGUGAUCAGAGUGAAAUAGAACCUGAAACCAUUUGCUUACAAUCAUUCAGAGCACUAUGUAGCAAUACAGUGUGAUGGACUGCCUUUUGCAUAAUGAGCCUGCGAGUUGUGGUGUCUGGCAAGGUUAAGCAAACGCGAAGCCGUAGCGAAAGCGAGUCUGAAUAGGGCGCUUAGUCAGAUGCUGCAGACCCGAAACGAAGUGAUCUAUCCAUGAGCAAGUUGAAGCUAGUGUAAGAACUAGUGGAGGACUGAACCCAUAGGCGUUGAAAAGCCCCGGGAUGACUUGUGGAUAGGGGUGAAAGGCCAAUCAAACUUCGUGAUAGCUGGUUCUCUCCGAAAUAUAUUUAGGUAUAGCGUUGUGUCGUAAUAUAAGGGGGUAGAGCACUGAAUGGGCUAGGGCAUACACCAAUGUACCAAACCCUAUCAAACUCCGAAUACCUUAUAUGUAAUCACAGCAGUCAGGCGGCGAGUGAUAAAAUCCGUCGUCAAGAGGGAAACAACCCAGACUACCAGCUAAGGUCCCUAAAUCUUACUUAAGUGGAAAACGAUGUGAAGUUACUUAAACAACCAGGAGGUUGGCUUAGAAGCAGCCAUCCUUUAAAGAAAGCGUAAUAGCUCACUGGUCUAGUGAUUUUGCGCGGAAAAUAUAACGGGGCUAAAGUAAGUACCGAAGCUGUAGACUUGCGCACAACUUAGAUUAUUUAAGUUUAGAAUAUGAGAAACUAAGUUAUGUUUAGUUAUAUUUUUACUGAUUUUUAUAGAGUAAAGAUAGAAAUAAAACUUAGUAAAAUCAGUAAAAAUAUUCUUAGACUAAAGUUAAGUAGUUUAAGUUGUGUGCAAGUGGUAGGAGAGCGUUCUAUUUGCGUCGAAGGUAUACCGGUAAGGAGUGCUGGAGCGAAUAGAAGUGAGCAUGCAGGCAUGAGUAGCGAUAAUUAAUGUGAGAAUCAUUAACGCCGUAAACCCAAGGUUUCCUACGCGAUGCUCGUCAUCGUAGGGUUAGUCGGGUCCUAAGUCGAGUCCGAAAGGGGUAGACGAUGGCAAAUUGGUUAAUAUUCCAAUACCAACAUUAGUGUGCGAUGGAAGGACGCUUAGGGCUAAGGGGGCUAGCGGAUGGAAGUGCUAGUCUAAGGUCGUAGGAGGUUAUACAGGCAAAUCCGUAUAACAAUACUCCGAGAACUGAAAGGCUUUUUGAAGUCUUCGGAUGGAUAGAAGAACCCCUGAUGCCGUCGAGCCAAGAAAAGUUUCUAAGUUUAGCUAAUGUUGCCCGUACCGUAAACCGACACAGGUGGGUGGGAUGAGUAUUCUAAGGCGCGUGGAAGAACUCUCUUUAAGGAACUCUGCAAAAUAGCACCGUAUCUUCGGUAUAAGGUGUGGUUAGCUUCGUACUAGGAUUUACUCCGAAAGCGAAGAAACUUACAACAAAGAGUCCCUCCCGACUGUUUACCAAAAACACAGCACUCUGCUAACUCGUAAGAGGAUGUAUAGGGUGUGACGCCUGCCCGGUGCUCG